CCAGCAGCUCCAUCUUUGAGUUCUUUCCUGCUGUGUGUCAGACUCAGCUGGCCCAGCCCAGGAGGAUGGAGAACUGACUUUGCUGUUUUUCUGCUUCUUUGCUCUACUCCCCUCAUUGAGUCAAGGUCCCUGGUUUUCAUUCUCCAUCUUUCCCACUUUCAUUUUCAGGAAAAAUCACCAAGAGUUUCUGAGAAUAUAAACUGGUGUGGACAUUUUGUAUGAUCAAUCGGCAAUGUCAAUCAAAAUUUCACAGGUCCUACCCUCGAGCCCACCCACAAAUGAUUGUGUCUAGUAUUGUAUAUCUGCUCAACAAACAAGAGAUCCAAGUGGGAAGAAGAAGCAAGCAUGGACUUGGCAUCUGAUUGUGGUCUGGCUCAGUGCAAUAUUAUUAGUGCCAACUGGAAAGGAAACCACCACCGAGAUCCAUCACAACAUGUGCUAUCGCGAGUUGUAUAUUGGGGAUGGAUCUGCCCCUGGCCAGAGGAGAAUAUGCCAAGGAAUCCUCAGCUCACCUAAAAGUGUGGUUACUGUGAGGAUGGCAGAGAAAGCAGAACAUGGAAUUUGGAGCCAAGAGACUUCUUAGCUGACCCUGAACUCUCCUGAAAAAGAGUUCCCUUGCCAUACACGAUAGGAUUUUAGAAGGAUCAGAUGAGAUCCCCUAUGUGAGAACGCUCUGCAGAUGCAAUAGGAAUUGACCAGGGUGAAGGACUGCAGCUAUGGCUCAUAAUAAAAGCUUCCUUUGUUUCCAAACAUUCUCAGGACUGACAUCUGAUCU
rnacentral:lncRNA from 1 species